rnacentral:tRNA from 1 species
GCGCCAUUAGCUCAACUGGAUAGAGCACUGCACUUCUAUUGCAUUGGUUACAGGUUCGAAUCCUGUAUGGCGUGCCA